rnacentral:lncRNA from 1 species
ACGGGCCAGACUCCAUGUUGCUGGGAGAACCUCCCUGGUUGACUGGCCCUAGCUUGUUCUACUAGGCUUCAUCUGGAAUCUGUUUUACUACAGUAAAACUACUGAGAAUUAGGGAUGGUGGGGAAGGUGGGGUGUGGGGCAAAGUUGAACCAAAUCAGGCUACCACUUUAAAAUGCCCUGGGUUCCCUCAGAAAACUCAUCAGCCUGCCUCCUUCCUCUUCCUCUUCCUCUCCCAGCCAUCCACCUGCAUGGGGUCCCGUCUGUCACUGCAUGGGCCAUAGGUCCCUGUGUGUCCCCCUCUAGACACUGUUGUUUUAUGCUUACUGUGUGACUCCUCUUCCCUACUCCCAUACUGAAAGAUUCGCCACACUUCUACCUCUGGGCCUGCCCCUCCAUGACCGGUCAGUGUCCCGAUGCCUCUCAUGCAUGUCAGUGUCCUGGACAGCAGAGCGUCGCUGCAAGACCACCCUUUGCCCGUGUGUCACUCCUGCACCCCCCUCCACCUUCUCCUGCUUGUGGAGAUCCGUGUACUUCUGGAUCGUUGUCCAUAUCUCUCAAAGAAAAAAAAGAAAAAGAUUCCUCAAUGCUUUUCUUUUCAAAAGGGAAAAAAAAAGGAAAAAAAAAACAAUGCCAACAGCCCAGCGUGCGUGAACAGCCCAACAGUAACAAAGCGUGCGUUCGCGAUGGAGGAAGAACUUCAGCGAGAGGGAAGCAUCGAGACUCUGAGUAACAGCUCAGGCUCCACCAGUGGCAGCAUCCCAAGAAACUUUGAUGGCUACCGAUCUCCGCUCCCGACCAACGAGAGCCAGCCGCUCAGCCUCUUCCCCACUGGCUUCCCAUAGACACCAGCCACCUGCUUCUGACUGGCUGGCCUGCUCACCCCCUAGAGGGACUGACAGGGGUGGAGAGAAAUGCCCCUAUCUCCCUACACCCCCACCCCCAUAAACCUCUGGUCCCACCCUUUUCAGUCUCCUCAACCCCACCUUCCCGGAGCUUAGUGACAGCAGCCGCUCAUCCCUAACUGGACUGAAGACACCUUCGGAACACCUCAGUACACCCUGACUUCUCCCACUCCUGUCAGUGGGGGCUGUGGCCUGAAGAGACUGCAGAACUCAGUCCCUUCUCUCUUUGCACAUAAUGUCCUGCAUUGGAUCCGCUUUUGUAUUUUCUAACUACCCACAGGGGACUGGAACAGUGGCCAGAUCUUAGGGCCUUGGGUAGGGAAGAGUUGAAAGGUCCAGCCAGGCAUUUUGGUGGACAUCAGCCCUAGCCCAGUUGAGGCUGUGAUGCACACUGCCCCCAGGUAUCAGUUCUUUCUAAAAAAGGGGUUAACUGAGGCCUAGAGUGAUAGGGAAAAAGGAAAGACCUCCCCUUGCCCCUGCUUCCCUGUUGGCUCAUGGGGAGAUUUGUCUGUCUUAUCUUUAAACCCUUGUACCCUGGUCCUGUGCUGUUCAGUGAAGGAAACUGAAGUUACUGAGGCCGUGUCAGAAGUGCACGUCUUGUCCAAUAAAUCUUGCUGCAAUUGGUGUUCA